AGGCUUAACACAUGCAAGUCGAGCGCCCCGCAAGGGGAGCGGCAGACGGGUGAGUAACGCGUGGGAAUCUACCCAUCCCUACGGAACAACUCCGGGAAACUGGAGCUAAUACCGUAUACGCCCUUCGGGGGAAAGAUUUAUCGGGGAUGGAUGAGCCCGCGUUGGACUAGCUAGUUGGUGGGGUAAAGGCCUACCAAGGCGACGAUCCAUAGCUGGUCUGAGAGGAUGAUCAGCCACAUUGGGACUGAGACACGGCCCAA
rnacentral:rRNA from 1 species